UUGCAGGCUGCAACUCGCCUGCAUGAAGUCGGAAUUGCUAGUAAUCGCGGAUCAGCAUGCCGCGGUGAAUACGUUCCCGGGCCUUGUACACACCGCCCGUCACACCAUGAGAGCCGGUAACACCCGAAGUCAGUAGUCUAACCGCAAGGGGACGCUGCCGAAGGUGGGGCUGGUGAUUGGGGUGAAGUCGUAACAAGGUAUC
rnacentral:rRNA from 1 species